AUGCAUAGUAAUAUGGAGGUGGAGGUGAAGGAGAUAGUGGAGAUGGAGACUGAUAGUGGUAUGGAGGGGAUAGAGAUUUCUUUGGAGGAGGGGGGGAAUCAUAGUAGUAUAGAGGUGGUGGUGAUGAAGAUGGUGGAGGCGGAGAGUUAUAAUAGUAAGGUGGUGGCGGAGAAUUGUAAUAGUAUGUAGGAUGUGUGGAUUUCUUUGGAGGAGGAGGUGAAUGGUAAUGGUAUGGAAGUAGUGGUGAAGGAGAUGGAUAUUUCUUCCGAGGAGGCGGUGAAGUAUAAUAGUAUGGAGGUGGUGGUGAGGGAGAUGGCGGAGGUGGGGACUUGUAGUAAUAUGGUGGAUAAUAUACCUUUUUAUGUGGAGGUGGUAAUUUAUACUCGUAUGAUGGAUACUUCACUUGUUUUGUAAGAGGUGGUGGUGAUUUGUAAUAGUAUGGCGGAUGAUAUAUCUUCUUUGGUAGAGGUGGUGAUUUAUAAUUAUAUAGUGGAUACUUUACAUGCUUUGGAGGAGAUGGCGGUGAUUUAUAAUAGUAUGGUGGAUAAUAUACCCUUUUUGAUGGAGGUGGUGAUUUAUGAUGGAUAUUUCACGUGCUUUAAAGGAAGUGGUGGUGAUUUAUAGUAAUAUGGUGGAUGCUUUACAUAUUUUGGUGGAGAAGGCGAUUUAUAAUAAUAUGGAGGAUGCUUUACAUAUUUUGGUGAAAGCAGAGAUUUAUGUUUAUAAGUCGGUGAAGGUUUGUAAUGCUUAGGGUUGCAAUGAAGAAGAAUAAAUAUGAGGCAUACAAUCGGCCACCGCAGUGGUAGCUACAAGGCAGAGAACAACAACAUGAAUCAUUGAAGACAAAUUUCCCGGCUGCCUCCAGGCUCCCAUUCUCAAUUACAAGUGAGGUUUUGUGCUGUGAAUGAUGAAGAAGAACACAAUCCCUUUAUAUAGUCAUCUCCUCAGUCACUGGUGAAACAGAUAUGUUUGUUUAGUGAUGACCACAGCCUGGAAUUACGCCAUUAAAAAUACAACUCGAAAUCUUACACUAACACAAUUUUCUAAUUUUUCUUUGUCUGUUUCCAACCUGUUAAUAAAUUGGUGGUCUCCCACUACGUAUCUUAUGCAUAUUCUAAGAAAAUGAGAAUUUCAAGCUUUGUAUUUCUUUUUGUGUAAAAUAUGGUAUUAUUUCGACCCAAUAUGCAAUCUUUUUUCCUUUUUCUUUUAAAUUAUGUCACAAAAUAUAAUAAAAAGUAAUAAAGGAGAAGUUGAGGAAUGAGUAACAGAUAUCUGAAGACAACAUAUAAAUAUAUAUAUAUAUAUGCAAAUUUGCAAGAACUGGUCCCUUUAAUACGGCAAUUAACUUAAUUAAUUAAUUAUGCAUUUGAUUCAGUCAUAGAAGUUGAAACAAGUUAAUCACAUCAUAUAAAUUAAAAUUUCUUAAUUAAACAUUAUGAGCCGCCUGAUCAACAUAUUUAUUUUGAUCUAAUUGUAUGAUUAUAGGGCUCUUGAUAGCAUGCUUUACUUAUUGAAUGACUUUCACUUUAGUUUCUAUAGUUCAAAAUUUUGUUUUGUUAUAUUAUUCUGAAUAUAUUUGAUUCAGCUGAUAAGUUAUAGUUGAUAUCCGAUAAUUUAUAAUUGAUAUAAAUAUUUUAUUAAAAUAUUUAAAUUAAUUAUUCUUUGUAAUUUAUAUUUAACAUAUAAUAUAUUUUAUAUUAAAAAUACAAGCCUAUAAUAAAAUCUGAAAUUGACACAUAACAUUGUUAAAAAUGAAAGUAAAAAAAAAAAAAACUACAAACUGAAAAAAAAAAAAAGUGAGUUUAAUAGAAGUAUAUACAACUACUGUUGUUUAUAUAUAAAAUGAUAUAAAAUGACUAAUAAAAAUUUAAUUUAUUUACUUGAAAAAAUAAAUGUCUAUUAUUUAUUUACUUAAUAAUUUAAAUAAUUGAACAAUUAAAUAUCAAAAUCAUGAGAAAUUGCAAAUUCAAUAGCUGAAUCAGACUUUAUCUUAAUAAAAUUUAUGCUGAUGAAUCAUGCAACUAAAUUAAAUUAAGAAAUUUAAAUUGAUAUGAAUUUCAAACACAAAAUUGUAUGAUUGAGAUUAUCAUGUUUUAUGCAUAAGGUUAGUUUUCCAGUAAUCUGGAAGUUCUAAAGCACCAAAUAAUAUAUCUUUGAUAAACAUCUCACAUGCAAGUUCAAACAUAAAACCUGGAGAAAUUCUAAUCACUUAUUUCUUCUAUGUUUACAAAAGUUUAUUUAACUGGGAGAAGAAAGAUUAAUGAUAUAGCAAAAAAGAGAAAGUAACAUUAACCAAGACAAAAUGAUAACACAGUUGCUACUUUGAUAAAUAGAAUACUCGUUCCAAUUCAAAUACACAGAAUAUGUAACUAAAAAUUGUAUUGAAUGUAGAACUGUGAGUUAAUUAUUUAACUUUAAUUGUGUUUUAAUUUAGUCAUUUUCAUAAAUAAAAGAUUGAUAUAUCGCAGAAAUGGCCGAUAUAGAGAAUAAUUAAGAGAGAAAUAUGUUGAUAUUUUCAUCGGAAAUAAAUUAUAACCAAAAUCGAAAUUAAAUGAUUUUAAUGAAAUAAAUUAAAGUAAAACUUAAUGCAAAGUUAAAUGAUUUUUUUCUAUUCUUUCUUCAAUUAAUACUUGUUUUCUUGAUUAUUUAUACUAAAUUUUCUAAUUUUGAUAAUUUCUUACAUUUUCUUUUACCUGAAAGAGCUUAUUAGUUAGACACUGAAGAACUUUCCUUGACCUUUUCCAACAUAGCUAGCAAUAUAAGCAAGUGUGAACUCCUCCAUGAAAUCUAGCUUUUAGCUCUUUCUAAUAUUAAUAAUCCAAGUCAAACAGUGGUAUUGCUUUACUAUUCAGAAUAUGUAUGCAGCCAAUCUCUUAGAAUAUGUCCUUUUGAACUUCCAAUGGUUAUGUACUAGAUCUAUUAACAUUUAGAAAGUGCAAUAUCUAUAACUACAAUAAGAUAUUUUCAGAUUUUUCCAAAUACUUUAUGUUCAUAAAAUCUAGUAGUACAAAAAUAACUCUGGUAAAAUUUCAAUUAAUAAACACUGCAUAAAGACAAAUGAUACAAUAAGCAUUAUUUCAUACAAAAAAGAAUUCACUAUGAAUCUUGGUAUAGAUUCUUAUUGUACACAAACUUCUUUUAUUACAAUUUAAAACUUAAAAGAACAAACAACAACAGCACAUUAAGCAGUAAUGAGUUAUUCUUGUUACGACAUUUCAAAUCGAUUCAACAAUGGACUUGGCUGGAAUUUGGAAGUAGCCAAAUAUUUAUUAGUAUGGAGGAGGAGGAGAGUAAGUCGGUGGUGGUGGAGAUUGGUAAUAGUAGGGAGGAGGAGGAGAGGGUGAUGGAGGUGGUGGUGAAUUAUAGUAGUAUGGAGGAGGUGGAGAUUUGACUGGAGGAGGAGGUGAUGCAUAGUAGUAUGGAGGUGGUGGUGAUGGAGAUGGUGGAGGUGGAGAACUAUAAUAGUAAGGUGGUGGUGGAGACUUUUUUGGAGGAGGAGGGGAAUAAUAGUGGUAUGGUGGAGGUGGAGACUUCUUUGGAGGAGGAGGGGAAUAAUAGUAGUAUGGAGGUGGUGGUGAAGGAGAUGGAGGUGGUGGUGGUGGGGAUUUGUAGUAGUAUGGCGGAUGAUAUUCCUUCUUUGGUGGAGGUGGUGAUUUAUAGUAGUAUGGAGGAUGAUAUUCUUUCUUUGGUGGAGGUGGUGAUUUAUAGUAGUAUGGAGGAUGAUAUUCCUUCUUUGGUGGAGGUGGUGAUUUGUAGUAGUAUGGAGGAUGAUAUUCCUUCUUUGGUGGAGGUGGUGAUUUGUAGUAGUAUGGAGGAUGAUAUUCCUUCUUUGGUGGAGGUGGUGAUUUAUACUUGUAUGGUGGAUACUUCACGUGCUUUGGAGGAGGUGGUGGUGAUUUAUAAUAAUACGGAGGAUGAUAUACCUUCUUCGGUGGAGGUGGUGAUUUAUACUUGUAUGGUGGAUACUUCACCUUCUUUGGAGGUGGUGGUGAUUUAUAGUAAUAUGGCGGAUGAUAUACUUUCUUUGGUGGAGGUGGUGAUUUAUAUUUAUACGGGGGAUGCUCAACAUGCUUUGGUGGAGGAGGAGACUUGUAAUAGUAUGGAGGAUGCUUUUCAUAUUUUGGAGGAGGCGG
rnacentral:lncRNA from 1 species